CAUUUCUGGAUAUGUUAAUUGGUGAUCCUUAGGUGCUCCACCUAUCCGACGCAGCUCCCCUCCUCCCGGCGGUGCUCCCCUCCUGCGACGCCGCUGCCUCAUCCCUGCGCCGCUCCCUCUUAUCGACGGCCCUCCAUCCUCCCGACACCGCUCCCCUCCUGCGACGCCCCCCCUCCCUGCGCCGCCGUUCCUCUCGUCGCCGAUCCAGGCACUGGUGCCGCCCGCUGCAAGCUGCUGGUUAGCCCUCCGUCGAUCCCACGAUGCGAGAUCUUGGCCUCCUAGGUCAUUAACCUCCGUCCUGAUCUGCUUCGCCCGUUCCUAGCUCCCUCCGCCUGAUACUGGACUUAUCGCAGUAGAAUUUGAUCGCAAAUGUGUAUGUGUUUUGCUGUGAAGUUUGUGUGAGCUCUGCAAUCAGCCUGUUGUUGGUGAUCAACCUUAGUUCGCUGCCUAUCGUCUCUUUUAACAACAUGCUAUAGUGGUUCAUUAGACAUUCAUCUGCUUCUGUUUCAGGCCUUGGUCAUAUCAAGAUGGAAACACCUCCCCAUUCACUGAGGCCAAUCAAUAGGUGUCACCCAGCUUGGGAUUAUGUCGCUUCCGCUCCUCCCGUCACCGGUGCUCCUCCGGCGCUCCGUGAUGUCGCUCUGUCCUCCCGUCUCCCCUAGGAGAGUACUGCCGACGGCGCCGGAUCCUGCGACCAACCUCUUUCGGCGUGCCAUCUGCUCAGGAGCUUCCUCAACACGCCCUCCAUCUCUGUUUGCUCCCAUUGCAAUAUGCAUGCUGGAUACCUGCACAUGAGAUGGUUGAUUGGCUAGAUAGUUUCUGAUUUCCUUUUUGUUUAUUGUUCCACCAUAUUGUAAAAACAGGGUCAAUAAAAUAGCAGAAUGCAUUGAGUUUUUAUGAACUCUUAUCGUGUGCUCGGUUUGAAUAUGGUGAAUGUAAAUACAAAGUGUUCUCAGUUUUGUGAUAAGAGAACUUACUGCUACUUUGCAUAGAAUUGAAGUUUUUAUGAUUGCAUA